rnacentral:rRNA from 1 species
AGCGAACGCUGGCGGCAGGCCUAAAACAUGCAAGUCGAACGGACCCUUCGGGGUUAGUGGCGGACGGGUGAGUAACACGUGGGAACGUGCCCUUUGGUUCAGAACAACUCAGGGAAACUUGAGCUAAUACUGAAUAAGCCCUACGGGGGAAAGAUUUAUCGCCAUUGGAGCGGCCCGCGUUGGAUUAGCUAGUUGGUGAGGUAAAGGCUCACCAAGGCUACGAUCCAUAGCUGGUCUGAGAGGANGAUCAGCCACACUGGGACUGAGACACGGCCCAGACUCCUACGGGAGGCAGCAGUUAGGAAUCUUGCGCAAUGGGCGAAAGCCUGACGCAGCCAUCGCCGCGUGAAUGAUGUAGGUCUUAGGA